rnacentral:lncRNA from 1 species
CGCGGGGGGGCGCGGCCCCUACAGUUCCAUGGCCAGGAGCGGCCUGCCUCGCCGAGCACUCGGCCAAGCACCUCCCCGACGACGCGUCGAGCACUCCGAGCUGAAGCCUGAAACAGAACAGAGACACGCGUCUGAUACGUUUACUCGUCAACGCACGGCUAUGACGUCAUCGAAUUACGCAUCCCGUCAACGUGGGGCAGUACGUCCAAUUUGAUGAAACAUUGUGAGUUUCGCUAAUUCUUUGUCCGCCACGCCAACAUCCAAUCACAGCCGAAUCGACCUGUACAAUCGAUUCAGGCACCGCGAUGAAACGAUUAUCCUCGCUAACUGGCAAUCGUCGCCUCAUGAAUGGAAAAGUGUGCGCCGGACACGACAAUCGAGUCCGGUUGCUCAAUCAAGAUCGGGGCUCUGGCUUGUCCCGGCAACAGCGGCGACAGCCGAUCACCCGCACCGCGAGUCAAAUGGCCAGACUUGCUCUCUCCUUUCAGGAAGGCGAGACGAUGAAGACAAAACAGUUUCAUCGUUCUGCGACUCGGAAAAAAAAAAGUUUCCACGACAAACAGCAAAUUAACUGUCUAAAAUUUUCGAGAAAAUUUUAGUGAUGUUUUCAGGGUGAUGAUACGUCCGAAAAUACGAUUAUGAAGAUUGUAUAACCCGUCAAAUGUGCCGGAAAUGAUGUGGCGGAUCGAAAUCGAAGUCAACAGUUUUCGAACUCUUUUCUUCCUCGCUGGACCUUGUUUCUUGCCCAAACUGGAGGGGCGCGUCCGUACAUUUUUACGAUACGCUGACUGCAGCCGAAUCCUUUGGCAGAGUGAUUCCUGAACAGCGUUUCCAUCGCUCUGUCUCGCUCGCACCGCUGCUGAAGUCCCCCUAUGUGCAUGCGAAAGCGACCAGGAGACAGAGAGAGAGAGAGAGAGAGAGAGAGAGAGAGAGAGAGAGAGAGAGAGAGAGAGAAGGCGGCGAGCCGCGCAGUUAUUAUCGUUGCUUUUAAUCCGGGCGGGGUAAACACAGGGGCGGUCGGGAAGUGCCUCGCUGCCGCUCUGAAUCUAUCACCCCGACGGGGAUGGGACGAGCGGACAAAAAAAAAGAGAGAGAAAGAAAGAGAGGGGGGAGGGGAGGGAAGGAGGGAAGGGACAGAAAGUGCAGGUGCCACGCGAUCCCCUGGGCCCUGUUCGGCCCCGUUCCAUCGCAGCCCUAUUCCUGGUUUUAUAGCCAUUUAGCGUCCCGCUCGCCUUGCCGCCUCGGAGUGGUCCCGUCCUCGUUCCUCCAGGUCGCGGACGUCGCGGACGUCGCGAACGAGGAGGCACGCGGCACGAAGGGCGCACGAACGCGGCACGCUUCGAACCUUACGGGGUGUUUUGAGCAUGCGGAGCUACAAGCUAUUUUUAGUUUGUCAUGCGAAGAAAUAGUUCGUAAAUUACGAACGAUUUUCUUCGUGAGCUCGUGUGUGCUUUAAAAGAUGAGCGUGGACUUUUGGUACAGAAGUAUUGACGAAUACUGCAGGUGCCAGUUACGAAUUUGCACAUCGACCCCUUCUAAGAAAAACAUUGGCAGCUCGCCAGGGCGCCACUUGGUCGCGGAGCAUUCGCAUCACCUUGCUCAUGUUUCAGAGAGAUAGUGGUACUUUGAAAACUUCCGAAAACGCAUGACCGCCAAAGCCAUUGUGCUCCGGCCCUCGCCACCCCGCGCGUUCUCCCACGCCCGGCACCCCUACGGCACCCCGCCCCACCUCGUCACGCCUCUUCGCUCAGGGACU